rnacentral:tRNA from 1 species
GCCUUCGUGGUGUAAUGGUCAGCACACUGAGCCGGUAUUUCAGAGGUCCGCGGUUCGAUUCCCGGCAAAGGAA